CAGAAAGAGCUUCCAUUAGCCGCACCCGUCUGCAAUCAAAACUGCAUCACUGCACAACAGAUAUUAAACCUGGAGUGGAAUGGACCCGGAACAUUAGCUAAGACGAGAUGAUCAUAGUGCAUGCUGGGAUUGUUUAUUUCAACUAGGACUACGAUCCAGCUACCGGUAAGCCACAGAUACCUUUCAUAAUUUGAAUUUUGGAAGUGGUGAGUAUAUUUUUCCUUUCCUGUGUCAGUUCAGGUAUUUGUAGUGUAUCAAUUAUUCACAUUGAUGACAGUCCAGUCCUCUUGUUUAAUUACUAAAAUCUGUUUUUCCCGAUAAUUAUUUUUCUUUGUUUUGCUUUCUUCAUGCUUUGGCUGUUUUCAGUAGUUUUCAAUAGUAUUCAAUCUUUGACUUCAGAGCUGCUGUUUGUUUAAUUUCCCUUCUUUUCUUCAUUAGGUAUUUUUUCUCUUGCAUGAUCUUCUGGUCGCAUUUUGUACUCUGUGUUCCAACUAUGUUUUUUGCUGUUUCUAUAAUUACUUUUGUCACUUCCUCAUAGAUUUUGUUUACCUUGAUUGCUUCAUCUUUUUGCAGAUCUUGAAGAGCAUUGAAUCUAUUCUACAGUUCCAGUUAAAACAACAAGCUUUGCUUCGGGAGCAUUUCUAUGUUGAUUGUGUUGGAUUUCGUCAUCACGAGUUUUGCUCUCUCCAGUGCUGUGUUUAAGUGUAUUUUGCAGCUUACAAGUCUGUGUUCACUUCUUGUGUUAAAAUUGUUUAGUACUGAGACAUCUUGUACGGUGUGUUUCUUGUUGGUGAGUAUGUAGUCUCAUUCUUCACUCCGUUGGGUCCUCUCCAUGUCCAUUUCCUGAUGGGUUUCUUCUGGAAGGAGGUGUUCAUGAUGAAUAAGUUUUUGUUCUCUGCAAAUUCGACUAGUCUGUCGCUCUUCUCGUUCCUGUUGCCAUGUCCAAAUUUGCAGACUGAAUUCUCAUCCUCUUGCUGGGCUCCUAUUUUGGCGUUGAAGUCACCGAUGAUGAACUUAUAGCGGCUCUUCCCAUUUUCAUGUAGUUCUUGUACUUCUUCAUAAACUGCCAUGGUCCAGCCUCCGGAGAAUGAGGGCCAUGUUUUUGUCUGUGCUUUCAUCAUGGGGAGGUUGGCCAUAACUCACCAUGCUGGCCAGGCUGGUUGCUGAGUGCCCCUUCCACUUUGGCAGAGUAUGUUACUCAAGCUUUCACAGCAUGGUUGAACCUGCUAGAGUCAGGGGACCCCGCUGUACAUUGUCUCGAGAACCCGUUGUCACCCUCCUGCCACUUUGAGGCAGUGGAAUUUGGACUUUAGGAGGGAGAUAUAUAUAUAUAUAUAUAUAUAUAUAUAUAUAUAUA